GAUGAACGCUGGCGGCGUGCCUAAUACAUGCAAGUCGAGCGAACGGACGAGAAGCUUGCUUCUCUGAUGUUAGCGGCGGACGGGUGAGUAACAUGUGGAUAACCUACCUAUAAGACUGGGAUAACUUCGGGAAACCGGAGCUAAUACCGGAUAAUAUUUUGAACCGCAUGGUUCAUAAGUGAAAGACGGUCUUGCUGUCACUUAUAGAUGGAUCCGCGCUGCAUUAGCUAGUUGGUAAGGUAACGGCUUACCAAGGCAACGAUGCAUAGCCGACCUGAGAGGGUGAUCGGCCACACUGGAACUGAGACACGGUCCAUAGUCCUACGGGAGGCAGCAGUAGGGAAUCUGCCGCAAUGGGCGAAAGCCUGACGGAGCAGCGCCGCGUGAGUGAUGAAGGUCUUCGGAUCGUAAAACUCUGUUAUGAGGGAAGAACAUAUGUGUAAGUAACUGUGCACAUCUUGACGGUACCUAAUCAGAAAGCCACGGCUAACUACGUG
rnacentral:rRNA from 1 species